rnacentral:snRNA from 1 species
UUGAUCUUCAUUUUGGCAGCACAGGCACUAAAACUGGAAUAACACAGAGAAGAUUAGCAUGGUUCCUGAACAAGAAUAGCAUGAAGCACUCCAGAUUUUA